AUUGAACGCUGGCGGCAGGCCUAACACAUGCAAGUCGAGCGAGCGGGGGGCGGGUGAGUAAUGUAUGGGGAUCUGCUCGAUAGAGGGGGAUAACUCCUGGAAACGGUGGCUAAUACCGCAUACUAGCGGCUUAACCCUGAUGGGAUGAGCUAGUGGGUGGGGUAAAGGCUCACCUAGGACACGAUCUCUAGCUGGUCUGAGAGGAUGAUCGGCCACACUGGAACUGAGACACGGCCCAGACUCCUACGGGAGGCAGCAGUGGGGAAUAUUGCACAAUGGGCGAAAGCCUGAUGCAGCCAUGCCGCGUGUGUGAAGAAGGCCUUAGGGUUGUAAAGUACUGUCAGCGGGGAGGCGUUACCCGCAGAGAAAGCACCGGCUAACUACGUGCCAGCAGCCGCGGUAAUAC
rnacentral:rRNA from 1 species